GAUGAACGCUAGCGGCAGGCCUAACACAUGCAAGUCGAGGGAGAGGUUAUCUUCGGGUAACCAAAACCGGCGCACGGGUGCGUAACGCGUAUACAAUCUGCCUUUCACAUAGGGAUAGCCCGAAGAAAUUUGGAUUAAUACCUAAUGGUAUAUAAGAGCGGCAUCGUUUUUAUAUUAAAGCUACGGUGGUGAAAGAUGAGUAUGCGUUCUAUUAGCUAGUUGGAGAGGUAACGGCUCCCCAAGACGACGAUAGAUAGGGGUUCUGAGAGGGAUGUCCCCCACACUGGUACUGAGAUACGGACCAGACUCCUACGGGAGGCAGCAGUGAGGAAUAUUGGACAAUGGUCGGAAGACUGAUCCAGCCAUGCCGCGUGCAGGAUGAAGGUCCUAUGGAUUGUAAACUGCUUUUGUAAGGGAAGAAUAAGGAGUACGUGUACUUUGAUGACGGUACCUUACGAAUAAGCAUCGGCUAACUCCGUGCCAGCAGCCGCGGUAAUACGGAGGAUGCGAGCGUUAUCCGGAAUCAUUGGGUUUAAAGGGUCCGUAGGCGGGCUGAUAAGUCAGAGGUGAAAGCGCUUAGCUCAACUAAGCAACUGCCUUUGAAACUGUCAGUCUUGAAUGAUUGUGAAGUAGUUGGAAUGUGUAGUGUAGCGGUGAAAUGCUUAGAUAUUACACAGAACACCGAUAGCGAAGGCAUAUUACUAACAAUUUAUUGACGCUGAUGGACGAAAGCGUGGGGAGCGAACAGG
rnacentral:rRNA from 1 species